rnacentral:miRNA from 1 species
ACAGCCCCUGUGCUCUGACCGCA